CAUCCUAGAUCGAUGAUGAAGAAGAAGAAGCAACUCCAAAUAAACAAUCUACGCGCUCGCGUCAUAUAACCUUUACCUGUACCUGCAACUGGUGUUGUAGUAAUCUUUGAGUCACAGGGGACUCAGCAAUCUCAUUUUCAAAGGUAUCAAGACUAGCAAAGCUUAUUAGGUGAGGCAUGGUAAAGUGGUGAGGUUGCAGCAGCGGCUAAGCAUAUAUUUGGUGGCUAAACUUACGAGUACAAGAAAUAAGAGAGGGAAGUACUACGCAUAGCGGACAUGAACUACGAAUGAUCAAAUGAAUGAUCCUGAACACCUACCUACGUCAGACAUAACCCCACCGUGUCCUCGAUCGGAGAAGAAACUCACGAAAGAGAUAGUCACGGUUACGCACACAGUUGGCAUAUUUUAAUUAAGUUAACUUCAAGUUAUCUAGAACCAGUGUUAAAUAAAGUUUUCACGUUGCCACAUAACCGCGGGCACGGCUUUCCGAAAAGAUUUUAACCCUGCAGGGGUGCUCCAACUAGUCCACCACAAAUUACCACAAGCCGCAUAGAAAUCCUCAAUCAUGAAGCUCACGAUCUUGUCGGAUUCCCUAGUGGAAAACCUCAACUCUGAGAUUACCCAAAGCAUCAUCGGAAUCCCGAUGCACAAGAUAUCUCGUUAAAGGUAAAACUAAUCCAGCAAGGCCACCCGGUGUGUCGACGAACCCGAUAGGAGCCGUGUAUCUCGUUUUCAGGACACACCGUUUAUGCAUAGUGGACGGUAGCCAAACCUCGAGUUGCCCCGAGGUGGCACCGCCGACUGCUAGGUGGGUGGACCAACACUCAUGCGGAGCACUGGCCCGGGGGGUUGAUUAAAUUAUCCUCGGUGUCCGAAAGUCUCUAUGCAAUUUUAUUAGGUUAUUAGGAAAAUGUAGGGGCAUUAAAUUAAAUAGCAUUUAAUAUGCUGAUAUAACAAGGAACCCAUGCUUUCACAUGGAAGCAUCUGCACCUGCAACUAGCAACACUAACACAGGGUUAAGCAAGCGGUAACAUAGCCAAUCAAUGGUUUGUUAGGUUGAACAGGUUGAAGGUUUCAUGGCUGUCACGCCCAAGAUGCGACCCUAUCCUCAAUUUGACACGAAGGCCUCGUCAGGGAUAGAAGCGCAUCUCGUCGUGUCGCAAGAAUGGAUAUCGUCACAAGUACAAGUACUGAAAAGAAGAGAUAUAUAAAGAGUUGGCUAACACUCGCCACAAGCUACAUCAGAGUCACAUCAGUACAUUACAUAAUCAUCAAGAGUAAGAGCAGGGUCCGACUACGGACGAAAACAAACGACAAAAGAAGAACAACGUCCAUCCUUGCUAUCCCAGGCUGCCGGCCUGGAACCCAUCCUAGAUCGUUGAAGAAGAAGAAGAAGAAGCAACUCCAAAUGAACAAUCAACGCGCUCGCGUCAAGAAAUCUUAACCUGUACCUGCAACUGGUGUUGUAGUAAUCUGUGAGCCACAGGGGACUCAGCAAUCUCAUUUCCAAAGGUAUCAAGACUAGCAAAGCUUAAUGGGUGAGGUAUGGUUAAGUGGUGAGGUUGCAGCAGCGGCUAAGCAUAUAUAUGGUGGCUAACUUACGAGUACAAGAAGUAAGAGGGGGAAGAUCUACGCAUAACGGACGUGAACUACUGUUGAUCAAAUGAAUGAUCCUGAACACCUACCUACGUCAGACAUAACCCCACCGUGUCCUCGAUCGGAGAAGGAACUCACGAAAGAGACAGUCACGGUUACGCA
rnacentral:lncRNA from 1 species